rnacentral:rRNA from 1 species
CGUAUCACUUAAAGCGAUUCAGCGGGUUACGAUUGACGGAGCGAAGCGACGUCAAAGCGUAUACAAAGUCGAGUCGGUUUAAGGAUACGUUCGUUGGGUAGGGGAGCGUUCUGUAAGCCUGUGAAGGUGGCCUGUGAGGGUUGCUGGAGGUAUCAGAAGUGCGAAUGCUGACAUAAGUAACGAUAAAGCGGGUGAAAAGCCCGCUCGCCGGAAGACCAAGGGUUCCUGUCCAACGUUAAUCGGGGCAGGGUGAGUCGACCCCUAAGGCGAGGCCGAAAGGCGUAGUCGAUGGGAAACGGGUUAAUAUUCCCGUACUUGGUGUUACUGCGAAGGGGGGACGGAGAAGGCUAUGUUGGCCGGGCGACGGUUGUCCCGGUUUAAGCGUGUAGGUGUGUGUUCCAGGUAAAUCCGGUUCACUUUAACACUGAGGCGUGAUGACGAGGCACUACGGUGCUGAAGCAACAAAUGCCCUGCUUCCAGGAAAAGCCUCUAAGCAUCAGGUAACAUCAAAUCGUACCCCAAA